CCCGGGCUGGGAACACCUCCAGGCCAGCGCUUUAGCAUCAUCCGAGGCUCUCCGCUUCCUCAGGGGGACCCGAGUUCUUCCACGCGACUCGCUCCUCUGAGAGGCGAUGCCUGGGAGUGUAAACCAUGCGAGUGUUCCUCUGCGGUUCCCCAAUUCCUAGCCCGACGCCUUGCACAGAGCGGGUCAUUCAAUGCAUGAAUGAAGAAAAGAGGAACCAAGGGGGGAAUUACGGAUGGAAAGCCAGUACUUGCUAUGGACCCCAGAGUGGAGAUUCUCUACAGAAUGACUAUUUGUGAGAAGGAUCUGAGCGGCCACUUCCAGAAAGAAGUGCAGCUGGAUAGGUGGAAUGUUUCUCAGUGGGGCCACUUGCACUGCAUGUGAGAUGUCCUGAGAGGAGCCAGUGGCCCUGGAAAAGGAAGGUUUGCUUUCUAAGAGAAGCUCC